rnacentral:rRNA from 1 species
UACGUAGGGUGCAAGCGUUGUCCGGAAUUAUUGGGCGUAAAGAGCUCGUAGGCGGUUUGUUGCGUCGGCUGUGAAAUCCCGAGGCUCAACCUCGGGUCUGCAGUCGAUACGAGCAAACUAGAGUGUUGCAGGGGAGACUGGAAUUCCUGGUAUAGCGGUGAAAUGCGCAGAUAUCAGGAAGAACACCAAUGGCGAAGGCAGCUCUCUGGGACGGUACUGGACGCUGAAGGAGCGAAAGCCGUGGGGAGCGAACAGG